UAGGGAAUCUUCCACAAUGGACGAAAGUCUGAUGGAGCAACGCCGCGUGAGUGAAGAAGGGUUUCGGCUCGUAAAACUCUGUUGUUAAAGAAGAACAUAUCUGAGAGUAACUGUUCAGGUAUUGACGAUAUUUAACCAGAAAGCCACGGCUAACUACGUGCCAG
rnacentral:rRNA from 1 species